CCUAUCAAAAAGUUACAGCACGUUUGUGAAAAACGGCAGUGGAAUCUAAGUACAAAAUUGGGCUGAGUUCAGGCAACCCUGAACCAUCCCCAACAAAAAGAAUCCGGUCCAUCCGGGCUUUGUUAGCGUUUAAUGGGCUGCUAACUGGUUGGCUUCUCUAUAACAAUGACAAAAAGAGGCACAGAAGUUUUCCAAAAAAGCAUAGAUGUCCAGAAAUAGAUGCCGUAAUCUCCAAGGGGGAUCCUCCUUUCUUCUUAUGAUGUGCAGCAAGACCUCUGAAUCGCACUCUAUAAUCAAGUUGUUUAAAUCUUUCUUUUUUGCUUCUUCUAAAGCCCAUCUAAGCGCAACAGCUUCCGCCUGAAGAGCACUCUCCGCCCGAAUAUGCUUCCCACCUACAAGAACAGGAUUACCCAAAUCAGAUCUCACUAUGAAACCGGCUCCCCCUUCACCACUCUCCCCUUGGAAGGAACCGUCAGUGUUCAACUUGAACCACCCAGGAGGCGGGUGUUCCCACCGCACCCAAAUAGGUUCAGUCCUAUGGGAGGUAUGUAGGGGUUGUUUUAGAUAGUCAAUGGUAAGUGCAACAGUCUUCCUCCAUAAGAUAUGGGUAGGGACAUGGAGGUUAUUGAAAUGUACGGAGUUGCGCAUUUUCCACAACUGCCACAGCCCAUUAGCAACAAAGGAUAGAAAGGCAUCCUGCUUCAUCGGUUGCAUAUGGCUGCCAUCCAGGAUCCAACCACCUUUCACCCAGUUAUUACUAAAGGACAAACGGAAUCCAGUUGUGGACAUAAGGCUAGACCAGAAUUGUUUAGCAGCACUACAAUCCAGGAAGACAUGAUCACAGUCUGAUGGAGCAGACUUGCAAGUGCUGCAGAGUGUAUUCAAGGAUUCUCAGAGCUGAGGGAAAAUAUACCAUAACCGGUCCUUAGUUGGCAGCUUCCCCCACACAAGCUUCCAGAGAAAAGUCUUAAUUCUGGGGGCAACCUUCAAUUUCCAAAUUUUGGUCCAACCAGGCCAACAGGUCUUAGUGUUUUGGGGGUCCCUGUGGAUGAACUCAUAGAUCGAUUUCACCGAAGGCUGACCAUUGGGUUGAUGCAUCCAGAUCCAAUCAUCAUGAGUUUUGGCAACAGGAAUAGGAAGAGAGAAAAUCGCCAUUGCCAGAGACUCACCGAAGAGUUCCAGCAGGCGAUUACACCUCCAACUGCCUUUGGAUAACAGCCAGCUGACCUUCCUAUUGCCAAAUUGCAAAUCCAUAUUGAUGAGGGUGGGCUUGAUAGCAAUAGGAAUCUCAAACACCCACGGGUCGUCAAGGAUAGAGGUAGAUUUGCCAUCUCCAAGUUGUUUGAUCAAGCCAUCUUUCAUNCUAUUGCCAAAUUGCAAAUCCAUAUUGAUGAGGGUGGGCUUGAUAGCAAUAGGAAUCUCAAACACCCACGGGUCGUCAAGGAUAGAGGUAGAUUUGCCAUCUCCAAGUUGUUUGAUCAAGCCAUCUUUCAUGGAUUCCAUAGAAUUGUGGAUAGCUUUGUAAAGAGGUGACUUCUUUUUCUUUUUCCCAGAUCUCCAGGGAUGAAAGGUAGCAUAUUGAUUUUUAAAAAUCUCGAUCCUAAUCAGAUUCCAAGCCUUAGGCGCAAGGAGGGCUGGCUGCAAAGUUCUAAGAUCUCUAAUGCCUAACCCGCCAGCAUUGGUAGCAUUAGUGACCUUGCCCCAGCUUAUGAGGUGAAGGCCUUUGGUACAAUCACUUUUCUCCCACAGAAAGCUCCUCAUGAUUUUAGUGAGUUGGUCAACCAUUCCCAAGGGAAUAGUGCAGUUAGACAGCCAGUAGGUAGGGAUGGCACUAAGGGUCGAUUUAAUAAGGACUAGCCUACCAGCUUGAGACAAUAAAUCCCUUUUCCAGUGAGCCAACUUCUUGUUAGUUUUAACUAAGAGGUCAUUGCAAUCAGAAGCCCUGAGCUUUCUAGGGCUAAUCUUAACACCAAGAUAAGUGAAGGGGAAGCUGCCAACCUGGAAAUUGAGAAUAUCAAUCACAGCAUCGAUGGUACUGUGAUUCACCCAGCUCGGGAAAUAGAUAGCAGAUUGUGAUCUAUUAACCUUUUGGUUGGUGAUAGAGCUAUAAAUAAGUGUUUAACACAUUAAGAAUAGCUCUACAGUUUUUCUCAUUGGCAGAAGUGCAGUGCAGAUCAGAAGGUCGUCCGCAAACAUAAGAUGAGAGACCUUACGAGUGCGAUUAAUUCAAAACCCAUCAAUGUCACCUCUAUUCAUGCAAUCGUUAAGCAGAUGGGUAAGCAAUUGGGAGCAUAAAAUAAAGAGAUAAGGUGAAAGAGGGUCUCCCUGUCUAAUACCACAGUUAGUCUUCAACCAUUUUGUCGGAGUACCAUUGAUAAGCAAGGAAAAGGAAACAGAGGUAAUGCAAGCCUUAAUCCACAAGCACCAUUUGGCAGGGAAAUUCAUAGCAUCCAAAAUCGAAAGAAUAGCAUUCCAAUCAAGCCGGUCAUAAGCCUUUUCCAUAUCGAUUUUUAAAAUCAUCAAAGGAUCGUCACGGUUCCUGCUAAAUUCCAUGGAAUGCACGAUUGAAUGCACAGCCAUAAUGUUGUCAGAGAUGUUCCUACCAGCCACAAAAGCAGCCUGCUCAGCUCCUAACAUGUUAGGCAACAGGGUUUUCAUUCUGUUCACUAGGACUUUAGACAGCAGCUUGUAGAUCACAUUACACAAGGAAAUGGACCUUCAUUCUUCCACCUUGGAAGGGUUGGGCCGUUUAGGGACCAGGGUAACAAAGGUUUGACCCCACAGAGAAGGGUCAGUAGCAUGAAACUUUUCAAAGGCCAGACCAAUGCCACUACCCAACUGAUCCCAGAAGCAUCUAAAAAACUCUACCUGAAAACCAUCAGGCCCAGGGGCCUUUCCAAGGGGCAUCGACCACAAGGCUGCUCUAAUCUCCUCAAUGGAGAAGGGUUUAAGGAGCUCAUCCUCGCAGGCAUUAGGGAUAGAAGGGAAGUUGGUUAAGUUGAGACUACAUAAAUUAGUGGAGUUAGGAGUAGCCCAAAUGUUCCUAAAAUGAUUAAAAAAAAACAUUACCUAUCUCCUUAGGAUCCUCCACUCUAGAACCCUCACAGUCAAGAAUAGCAGCAAUCCCUAUUAUUGCGUCUCCGCUCCGAAUAAGGGUAGAAGUAUGAAAAAAUUUUGUAUUAAGGUCACCUUUUUGCACCCGGAUUUGGAUCUCCAUUUAGUAUCCAAUUGACGCAAUAAGGCAAGAUGGUGGUUAUAAAGGGUCUGCAGGUUGCGUUUGUCAUUCUUGCUAAGUCCACCAGCGGAUUGUUUAAGUUCUAACUCCAGGAUUUUUUAUUUCACCGAAUCAAUGAGAUUUUCCAGUUUGCCAAGGUCCUUUUUGUUCCAGUAGGUGACCCUAUCUCUGAUAAUACUGAAUUUAGCAAGAAGAUCAGAGAAGGCA
rnacentral:lncRNA from 1 species